ensembl:lncRNA
CUUACAAGGAUUCCCUGGGAGGCGGUAUAGCAGAAGUUCCAACCUCCCUGAAAACUUUGCAGUGGUUGCUUGCCAUCUCUGUGCCUGCGUUCCUAUGAUGGGUGCAGUGUCCCCAGAUGCCCUUUAGAGAAUGAAGAACAGUGCUCCCAGUGUCUGGGAGUGCCACGUCAGACAGCCCACCGCUGGCAGCCUCCUUCAGGGAUGGCUUUGGCUGAAGAAAACUGCCUCUCCCAAGUUCAUGCUCAUGUCCAUUGUCUGAUCGACACAGUGGUUACAAAGCUCAGUCUCCUCCCUCCAACUUGGACCAACUGAAGGAUUGUCCAAGUCAGAGCACCCCAUGAAGUCAGGGCAUCUCCCUGCGGAGGUUUCCAGAAGAGCACUGCAAUGGAAAGAAGCCAGCCUGCACGAAGGAGAGAGUCCUGGACUGGAACUCAAGCAGCCCAAGGUCCUGGCUCCAGCUAUGCUGCGUUGCCCUGAAGAAAUGUCUCUACCUCACUGGAAUUCAAGUCUUUAUCUGCCAAAUCAUCUCCAAGUUCUUAACUCGCUCACUGAUUUAGGAAAAAGCCUUUCCACAAGAAUAGCUAUCCCAUGUCUAAAAUAAAUGUUUGUGAAGCAAAGAAAGGUAGUCAGAUUGGCCCAGAAUAUUUGGAACAGGUGUAGGUGUGGAUAAAAGAAAGGAAUUGGAAGUCUUUUUCCUUUGGUCCUGAUUCAAUACUUAAGAUUCAAAUUUCAGAGUGUUAUAAAUGCAUUUAUCUUUUGUCCCAGCAGUUCUGCUCCUAAACAUUUUCCCUAUAGUUAAAACAAACUUAUCAUGGAGCUCUUCAUUACAACAGUGUUUGUAAUAAUGAAUAUUAGAAACAUCUAAAGGACCACCAAUGAGGAAUGAGGGAAAUAAAUUGAAAUACUCUACAAUGAAAUACUGUGAUACUACAAGAGAAAAAGAAUAACCAAGUUUGCUAUGUGCUGUUAAGGAAAAAUCUCAAGAUAUACUUCCAAGUGAAGAACUAAAGUGCAGAACAAUGAUAAACUAAUCAAGUUUUUUUUAAAAAGUGGGGGAAUAGUGCUCUAUGUACUCUGUGCUUCUACGUACAUAAAACACCUCUAGGAAGAAGAACAAGCGAGCAAUAGUGGUUGGUUUGGGGAGUACUCUGGGUGGUGUGAGUGAGCAGAUGGGAGGAAGAAGUGGGUGGGAAAUUCUCACCUUAUGUUAGUCUAUGGUUUUUUUCAUUCCUUUAAAAGUUCAAUUCAGAUGAAUAAAAAAUAAUAUAUGUGACCAGGGCAAUAUAGUAAAGAUAUUAUUACACAGAGCAGAGCUUAAUGUUCCUGUUUGCUUCUGGAUUUUGCAGCGUGGUGAGAAAGCACCUGAGUGAAAUUCGUCUCAUGCCUUGUAGAAGUUCAUUCUACGCUUUUCAAUGUUUAAACCUACCACCUGGUCAAAAAACAGAGGUGGAGCAAGCAAUCCCAACUGUUUUUCCUUCCACCCAGCCCCUAAGGGGGGCCAAUGCCAACCCCUUCUUCCAUCUGUACGACUCUGCCCUCUUUCAAGUAAAUCCACUUCUUUUAUAAGAUCAAUGAUGUCAAGAUGUGAAGAAAGGCUAAUAUCUCUUUUUACAAAUAAAGAAACUAAAGUUCAGCAAGAAUAAGUCACUUGCCCAAGAACAUAUAGGCAGUGAAUCAGUUAAAAUAUUUUUAGCUGUAAGUACCAGAAACCUGGAUUUUAAGUACAUUAAACAAUAGAAGUUUAUUAACCUACAUAGCUAGAGGUCCAGAAAUGAGGGGAAAUUCUACAUUUAGUUAAUCCAGGGGCAGGAAGAUGUCAUUAAAGGCUCAAAUGCUGGCCGAUCUUGUGCUUUGCAACCUCAGGACGUAGCUCGUUUCUCUCCUUAUGGUCACAAGACGGCUGCAGCAGGGGUCACCUGAGGACACACUGUGUGAGAAAAAGAGGACCUUUUUACUGUACAUCUCUCUUAUCAGCAACGAAAUUCUUUCCCAGAAGACCCAGUGAGUUUCCUCUUAUGUCAUAUUGACUAUAUGAUUUAUUCAUAUGUCCACAUCCAAACCAAUUACUGACAAAGAGUUUGAGGCUACCAUGGAUGGCUCAAACCAACCACGGUUCAUCCUCCUAAGCCUG